GGUUAGAAAAGAAAGAGAAUGCAGGUGAGUAUGUGUGGAACACCUGCAAGACUUCAUCCAGCAAACUGAAAUGUGAAACCUGGCACCAAAUGAUUAGUCUUCUUAAAGGGACACUUCCAUCAAUUUUUAAAAUCACAUAUUUAACAACCUAUAUGUGAAUAGUCUAUGGAAAUUCUAAGAAAAUGGGUUGCUCUUUUUCUGUAUAAUUUUUGAAGUCACUCAUGUAUUCUACUUCCUAUACUGGCUCUUUAGCUUCCCGUUAGAUUGGACUGUUAGCAGAGCAAACAGUCUUGCCUAACUUUCUCAGUCAGGUCAACUACAAAACACUCCCUAAACUAGAGGUAAGUGGUGUAUAGUGUGAGCAGAGUCCAGUUGUGUAAUUUUUAUCUUCAUACUCACUUGCGUCCUGAUGCUGUACAAAAGCAUUGAGAGGACUCCCAUGCUCAUGCACAUAAUGGAAAGGACUCAAAGAGGAGUACCCAAUGCAUCUCACUGCUGGUUUGUCAGAGAACAGCAUCAGAACGCAAGUGAGCAUGAUGAUAAAAAUUAUACAACCGAACUUGGCAUCACUUACACUAUACAACAUUUAGAGUAGUUUGGGUGUUGUUUCGGAGCUGACAGAUUCCCUUUAAACCACACUGGAGUGGAUACGGUGGUGACUCACAUUACUCUAUUUAAGCCAGUGCUCUACUCUGAGCAUAUUUAACAGAGACUAUCGAGAGAACAAUAGCAUUGUCAUACUGUUGUCCCAAUUCUACACCUAAUGUUAUCAUAAGGAUUACCCUACAGACAUCUUCCCCUCACAGUUGCAGUAAUCUGACUAUACAGUAGUUCUUAUAAUUUGUGUUGGCUGCUACAGAAGAGCAAUAUUUUGGGUUUAAUUUUCAAUGGUAUACUACUGCCAAAAUGAAAAAAAGAAAACAGCCAGAAAUGCUUAAAAAAAU